UCAUGAUCUUUGUGUACAAAGUCGAGAACUUGAGAGAUGUUUUAUGUUUCUUUCGGGGGAGCCAAAUGGGGGCAUGAGUUAAUGGAAGGAGAGAUGAAUAUCAUGUCCUCUCUGUUGCAAUACAUUCUAGUAAGAUUGUACUUCCAUAUAAUGUUAUGUCUUGGGGAACUUGGUGGCAGUGAUGUCAUUGAUAAUCCCAGCUCUAUGAGAUCUUCAAUUUGAAGAUCCAGGAAUAGAUGUUAUCAAUUUCUGUCUGAGCCUAUUACACUGUUCUAGUAUUUCUAUCUGAGCCUAUAACAUUCUUCGAGUAAGAUAUUUCAUUAUAGUUUAGUAAUUUUGAGUCUUGAGGAACUUGGUGGCAGUGAUGUCAUUGAUAAUCCCAGCUCUAUGAGACCUUCAAUUUGAAGGUCCAGGAAUAGAUGUUAUCAAUUUCUGUCUGAGCCUAUAACACUGUUAUACUACAUUUUGUUUUAUAAUCUCAAGUCUUCAGAAACUUGUUGGCAGUGAUGUCAUUGAUAAUCCCAGCUCUAUGAGACCUUCAAUUUGAAGGUCCAGGAAUAGAUAUUAUUAGUUUCUGUCUGAGCCUAUAACACUGUUCUAGUUCAUUUUGCUUUUAUAAUCUCAAGUCUUCAGGGACUUGGUGGCAGUGAUGUCAUUGAUAAUCCCAGCUCUAUGAGACCUUCAAUUUGAAGGUCCAGGAAUAGAUGUUAUCCGUUUCUGCCAGAGCCUAUAGCAAUGCUCUAGUUCAUUUUGCUUUUAUAAUCUCAAGUCUUCAGUUACUUGGUGGCAGUGAUGUCAUUGAUAAUCCCAGCUCUAUGAGACCUUCAAUUUGAAGGUCCAAGAAUAGAUGUUAUCAUUUUCUGUCUGAGCCUAUAACACUGUUCUCGUUCAUUUUGCUUUUAUAAUCUCAAGUCUUCAGGAACAUGUUGGCAGUGAUGUCAUUGAUAAUCCCAGCUCUAUGAGACCUUCAAUUUGAAGGUCCAGGAAUAGAUGUUAUCACUUUCUGUCUGAGCCUAUAACACUGUUAUACUACAUUUUGUUUUAUAAUCUCAAGUCUUCAGAAACUUGUUGGCAGUGAUGUCAUUGAUAAUCCCAGCUCUAUGAGACCUUCAAUUUGAAGGUCCAGGAAUAGAUGUUAUCACUUUCUGUCUGAGCCUAUAACACUGUUAUACUACAUUUUGUUUUAUAAUCUCAAGUCUUCAGAAACUUGUUGGCAGUGAUGUCAUUGAUAAUCCCAGCUCUAUGAGACCUUCAAUUUGAAGGUCCAGGAAUAGAUAUUAUUAGUUUCUGUCUGAGCCUAUAACACUGUUCUAGUUCAUUUUGCUUUUAUAAUCUCAAGUCUUCAGGGACUUGGUGGCAGUGAUGUCAUUGAUAAUCCCAGCUCUAUGAGACCUUCAAUUUGAAGGUCCAGGAAUAGAUGUUAUCAUUCUCUGUCUGAGCCUAUAACACUGUUCUCGUUCAUUUUGCUUUUAUAAUCUCAAGUCUUCAGGAACUUGGUGGCAGUGAUGUCAUUGAUAAUCCCAGCUCUAUGAGACCUUCAAUUUGAAGGUCCAGGAAUAGAUGUUAUCAGUUUCUGUCUGAGCCUAUAACACUGUUCCAGUUCAUUUUGCUUUAUAAUCUCAAGUCUUGAGGAACUUGCUGGCUAUGAUGAUCAUUGAUAAUCCCAGCUCUAUGAGAUCUUCAAUUGGAAGGUCUAGGAGUAUUAUAUGUUUUCAAUUUCUGCCUGAGCCUAAUAAUAUUCUUCGAGUAAGAUAUUUUAUUAUACUUUGAUAUUUUACAGUCCUGAGGAACUUGGUGGCAGUGAUGUCAUUGAUAAUCCCAGCUCUAUGAGAUCUUCAAUUUGAAGGUCCAGGAAUAGAUGUUAUCAAUUUCUGUCUGAGCCUAUAACACUGUUCCAGUUCAUUUUGCAUUUAUAAUCUCAAGUCUUGAGGAACUUGCUGGCUAUGAUGAUCAUUGAUAAUCCCAGCUCUAUGAGAUCUUCAAUUGGAAGGUCUAGGAGUAUUAUAUGUUUUCAAUUUCUGCCUGAGCCUAAUAAUAUUCUUUGAGUAAGAUAUUUUAUUAUACUUUGAUAUUUUACAGUCUUGAGGAACUUGGUGGCAGUGAUGUCAUUGAUAAUCCCAGCUCUAUGAGAUCUUCAAUUUGAAGGUCUAGGAAUAGAUGUUAUCAAUUUCUGUCUGAGCCUAUAAUGUUGUUCAAGGAA